rnacentral:rRNA from 1 species
AGCGAACGCUGGCGGCAGGCCUAACACAUGCAAGUCGAACGAAGUCUUCGGACUUAGUGGCGGACGGGUGAGUAACACGUGGGAACGUACCUUUUGGUUCGGAACAACUCAGGGAAACUUGAGCUAAUACCGGAUGAGCCCUUAGGGGGAAAGAUUUAUCGCCGAAAGAGCGGCCCGCGUUAGAUUAGCUAGUUGGUGAGGUAAAGGCUCACCAAGGCUACGAUCUAUAGCUGGUCUGAGAGGAUGAUCAGCCACACUGGGACUGAGACACGGCCCAGACUCCUACGGGAGGCAGCAGUGGGGAAUAUUGGACAAUGGGCGAAAGCCUGAUCCAGCCAUGCCGCGUGAGUGAUGAAGGCCUUAGGGUUGUAAAGCUCUUUCGCCAGGGAAGAUAAUGACGGUACCUGGAAAAGAAGCCUCGGCUAACUCCGUGCCAGCCGCCGCCGUAACAC